rnacentral:lncRNA from 1 species
GUGGUGAGGAAAAGAAGACUCGGGGGAUGCUAAUUAAGUGGGUCCUGCUGCAGGACUGCCUGGCUUAGGAUUUCGGCUCUUCAUUCUGCAUUCUGCUAUUCCUUGCUCUGUUGGCACAGCAGCAGGCUGGCCUCUUACGUGAGAAUCGCAGAGAUGAUGAUCAUGGCAGGUAAGACAGGCUGCAGGGAGGGGCAAAGCAUUUCCACAAUCCCUAGCAGCUUGAAUAGGGAAGGGUAGUCUUCGUAAUAGCGUUUUUAGAAGUUA